rnacentral:lncRNA from 1 species
GGCAAAUGAAGCCCAAAGUAAGCAAAAGAAUAAAGAGCUAAGUGGCAAUCAAUGAAAGAAAGAAAAGCAGAAAACAGAAGAAACCAGUGAAACCAAAAGAUGGUCCUUUGGGAUCCACAAAAUUAAUAAAUCCCCAGCCAAGAAGAAAGAGAACCAAAGUUAUCUGAAAUGAAAGCGAUGAUACCAUUACAGAUUCUACCUAUGUGCAAUGGAUAACUCAUGCAAAUGAAAUUGACAACUUAGAUAAAAUGGGCCAAUUCCUUACAAGACAAAAAUUUUGGAAGCUCACUCAAGAAGAAAUAGUCAUGCACAGUGGCACAUGUCAUAAUCCCAGGGACUUGUGAGGCUGAGGCAAGAGGAUAGAAAGUUUGAGGCCAGCCUCAGCAACUUAGCAGGACCCUGUCUCAAAAUAAGAAAAGCUGGUAUUGUAGCUCAGUAGUAGAGCUCCCCUGGGUUAAAUUCUCAGUAUCAUAAGAAAAAAAGAAACAGAUAUUCUGGAGAUGGAUGGUGUCAAUGGUUGCACAAUAGUGUGUACGCACCUGAUGGCCCUUGACUGUAUAAAUAUCAUUCUAAUAUCUAAUAUCAAAACUCAUCAUAAGAAAGGAAAAUUGGUCACCAAUAUACCUUGUGGGGAAAAAAAAAAAAUUUUUUUUUUUUUGUACUAGGGAUUGAAU